rnacentral:lncRNA from 1 species
GCUUUGAAACAGAGAGAAGAUAUAAGUACAAUAAUGCAGUUAUCGCACUGAGUCGUUUGUAUGUUGAACUCAUCUUGCAGCAAGAAGCGGGUUGAGGCAACUGAGUUACCAAAGCAUAGGAAAACCUGAAACAAAAAUGUCAAGUGAAACAGAAUUCAAUGAUAUGAAGUAGGUGUGAGACGCAGUUAUUGGAUGACAUUUCAUAGAUAAAGUUUUAGCUAUAUGCAGCAAACACAGAAUAUACACAUUCAAUUUUUUCCAUCUAAGAUUGUAAUACUGAGCCAUUC